UAUAUAAUACUGAUGUUUAUAGUUCAAUAGAUGUUUGCAACUGUCCAUUUAUUUUUUCAAUCUACUAACAGUGGAUUAUAAUCUGUUAACAGAGUCCAUUAAAACUGAAACUGUUACUGAAGCUCCUGUUAAGAAAGAUUUUACAUUCUAGUAUACCACAAGACUGUUGAAUGCUUGAUUCUGAUUGGUUGAUGAAUGAAUGUCUUGAAAUAAAACAAUAACAAACCUGUAGUAUAAACUUUAAUAAAUGUUUGAAACUUUAAUUUUUUAAUCUACUAACAUGGUUUAAAAUCUGUUCACAGAGCCCAUUGGAUCUCCAGAGAACCGUGAAGUUCCUGAUAAUGAAAAACUUCUGUUGGAUGAAUCAAAAGGUUGUGGAUUUAAAGUUGCUGUCAUCGCUGCUGUUGUAAGCAGUCUUAUCAUCGUCAUCAUGACAAUCAUUUACAAAAUGAAACAAAAGUACAAACAGAAAAGGAUGUUUCUGAACAACAGCCAAGAAAAUUGUGCAGUAAAUGUAGUCUAAUAUCACUGACCCAGUUUUGUUUGAUUUUCAUGUGAAGAUCAUGAAAGACAAACUUUAUAAGAACUCCAUAAACUUUAUCUGUACAUACAUUAAUAUCUGUUAAAACCCCGUUUCUGUUUUUAUAUUGAUUUCAAUGAAAUAAUAUAUUAUUAAUCUCAUUGAUCAGUGUAUAUAUUUGGCUUUAAUGAUCUUGUGCCUGUGUGAACAUUAAGAGACUAAAGCAGCAAAAACCAAACAGUGUUUGCUUUUGCUCUUUUUUUUUUAUUGUUCUGACAUUCAAGUUAUGUAUAUAAUGUUAAUUUUGUAUUUGGUAAGUGGUAAUAGAAUGGAAAUGAUUUUUUACUGUUAUUAUUCUACACAUACAAUUUUGCAAUGAUGUAAAUGGUGUUGUGUUGCACAAUGUGUUGUAUUAAAAAGCAAUGGAAUGAAGAAA